rnacentral:rRNA from 1 species
GACGAACGCUGGCGGCGUGCUUAACUCAUGCCAGUCGAACGGAAAGGCCCUGCUUUUGUGGGGUGCUCGAGUGGCGAACGGGUGAGUAACACGUGAGUAACCUGCCCUUGACUUUGGGAUAACUUCAGGAAACUGGGGCUAAUACCGGAUAGGAGCUCCUGCUGCAUGGUGGGGGUUGGAAAGUUUCGGCGGUUGGGGAUGGACUCGCGGCUUAUCAGCUUGUUGGUGGGGUAGUGGCUUACCAAGGCUUUGACGGGUAGCCGGCCUGAGAGGGUGACCGGCCACAUUGGGACUGAGAUACGGCCCAGACUCCUACGGGAGGCAGCAGUGGGGAAUAUUGCACAAUGGGCGGAAGCCUGAUGCAGCAACGCCGCGUGCGGGAUGACGGCCUUCGGGUUGUAAACCGCUUUCGCCUGUGACGAAGCGUGAGUGACGGUAAUGGGUAAAGAAGCACCGGCUAACUACGUG